rnacentral:lncRNA from 1 species
GUUGGGACCAAAACUCCCAAAAUCAAUACCAACCUUCCUUUUAUGGUCAUAAACCUUGUGUUUAAAUUUCAUAGAUUUCUAUUUACUUAUACUAACGUUAUGGUGCGAAAACCAAGAAAAAUGCUAAUUUGGGUCCCUUUUUGGCCCCUUAUUCCUAAACUGUUGGGACCUAAACUCCCAAAAUCAAACCCAACCUUCCUUUUGUAGUCAUUAACAUUGUGUUUAAAUUUCAUUGAUUUCUAUUUACUUAAACUAAAGUUAUUGUGCGAAAACCAAGAAUAAUGCUUAUUUGGGCCCUUUUUUGGCCCCUAAUUCCUAAACUGUUGAAACCUAAACUCCCAAAUUCAAUCCCAACCGUUCUUUUGUGGUCAUAAACCUUGUGUCAAAAUUUCAUAGAUUUCUAUUAACUUAAACUAAAGUUAUAGUGCGAAAACCAAGAAAAUGCUUAUUUGGGCCCUUUUUGGCCCCUAAUUCCUAAAAUAUUGGGACCAAAACUCCCAAAAUCAAUACCAACCUUCCUUUUGUGGUCAUAAACCUUGUGUUAAAAUUUCAUAGAUUUCCAUUCACUUUUAUUAAAGUUAGAGUGCGAAAACUAAAAGUAUUCGGACGCCGGACGACGACGACGACGACGACGACGACGACGACGACGACGCAGACGCCAACGUGAUAGCAAUAUACGACGAAAAAUUUUUCAAAUUUUGCGGUCGUAUAAAAACAGCAAAAUUUCCUUAAAAUUACCGAUUCAGGGGCAGCAACCCAACAACCGAUUGACCGAUUCAUCUGAAAAUUUCAGGGCAGAUAAAUCUUGACCUGAUAAACAUUUUUACCCCAUGUCAGAUUUGCUCUGAAUGCUUUGGUUUUUGAGUUAUAAGCCAAAAACUGCAUUUUACCCCUAUGUUCUAUUUUUAGCCGUGGCGGCCAUCUUGGUUGGUUGACCGGGUCACGCCACACAUUUUUUAAACUAGAUACCCCAAUGAUGAUUGUGGCCAAGUUUGGUUUGAUUUGGCCCAGUAGUUUCAGAGGAGAAGAUUUUUGUAAAAGUUAACGACGACAGACGACGACGACGACGGACGCCGGACGCCGGACGCCAAGUGAUGAGAAAAGCUCACUUGGCCCUUCGGGCCAGGUGAGCUAAAAAUUGGCACAUCAUGUUAAGAA